rnacentral:rRNA from 1 species
UACGAAGGGUGCAAGCGUUAAUCGGAAUUACUGGGCGUAAAGCGCGCGUAGGCGGGUUUUUAAGUCAGGGGUGAAAUCCCAAGGCUCAACCUUGGAACUGCCUUUGAUACUGGAAAUCUUGAGUCCGGGAGAGGUGAGUGGAACUGCGAGUGUAGAGGUGAAAUUCGUAGAUAUUCGCAAGAACACCAGUGGCGAAGGCGGCUCACUGGCCCGGUACUGACGCUGAGGUGCGAAAGCGUGGGGAGCAAACAGG